GUCCCCGUAGUUCAGUGGAUAGAACGUCGGCUUGCGGAGCCGAAGGUCGGAGGUUCGAAUCCUCCCGGGGAUA
rnacentral:tRNA from 1 species